GAUAAACGCUGGCGGCGUGCCUAAUACAUGCAAGUCGAGCGAACGGACGAGAAGCUUGCUUCUCUGAUGUUAGCGGCGGACGGGUGAGUAACACGUGGAUAACCUACCUAUAAGACUGGGAUAACUUCGGGAAACCGGAGCUAAUACCGGAUAAUAUUUUGAACCGCAUGGUUCAAAAGUGAAAGACGGUCUUGCUGUCACUUAUAGAUGGAUCCGCGCUGCAUUAGCUAGUUGGUAAGGUAACGGCUUACCAAGGCAACGAUGCAUAGCCGACCUGAGAGGGUGAUCGGCCACACUGGAACUGAGACACGGUCCAGACUCCUACGGGAGGCAGCAGUAGGGAAUCUUCCGCAAUGGGCGAAAGCCUGACGGAGCAACGCCGCGUGAGUGAUGAAGGUCUUCGGAUCGUAAAACUCUGUUAUUAGGGAAGAACAUAUGUGUAAGUAACUGUGCACAUCUUGACGGUACCUAAUCAGAAAGCCACGGCUAACUACGUGCCAGCAGCCGCGGUAAUACGUAGGUGGCAAGCGUUAUCCGGAAUUAUUGGGCGUAAAGCGCGCGUAGGCGGUUUUUUAGUCUGAUGUGAAAGCCCACGGCUCAACCGUGGAGGGUCAUUGGAAACUGGAAAACUUGAGUGCAGAAGAGGAAAGUGGAAUUCCAUGUGUAGCGGUGAAAUGCGCAGAGAUAUGGAGGAACACCAGUGGCGAAGGCGACUUUCUGGUCUGUAACUGACGCUGAUGUGCGAAAGCGUGGGGAUCAAACAGGAUUAGAUACCCUGGUAGUCCACGCCGUAAACGAUGAGUGCUAAGUGUUAGGGGGUUUCCGCCCCUUAGUGCUGCAGCUAACGCAUUAAGCACUCCGCCUGGGGAGUACGACCGCAAGGUUGAAACUCAAAGGAAUUGACGGGGACCCGCACAAGCGGUGGAGCAUGUGGUUUAAUUCGAAGCAACGCGAAGAACCUUACCAAAUCUUGACAUCCUUUGACAACUCUAGAGAUAGAGCCUUCCCCUUCGGGGGACAAAGUGACAGGUGGUGCGUGGUUGUCGUCAGCUCGUGUCGUGAGAUGUUGGGUUAAGUCCCGCAACGAGCGCAACCCUUAAGCUUAGUUGCCAUCAUUAAGUUGGGCACUCUAAGUUGACUGCCGGUGACAAACCGGAGGAAGGUGGGGAUGACGUCAAAUCAUCAUGCCCCUUAUGAUUUGGGCUACACACGUGCUACAAUGGACAAUACAAAGGGCAGCGAAACCGCGAGGUCAAGCAAAUCCCAUAAAGUUGUUCUCAGUUCGGAUUGUAGUCUGCAACUCGACUACAUGAAGCUGGAAUCGCUAGUAAUCGUAGAUCAGCAUGCUACGGUGAAUACGUUCCCGGGUCU
rnacentral:rRNA from 1 species